UGUGGCACGUUUAGGGACGCUUUUGCGGUGCCGGGGAGGAAGGAGGAAGGGGCGCGGCGAGGGGAGGCGAGGGCGGUCCGCGCCCGGGCCCCGCGCGGGGCGGCCUUUUGUUCGCCAGCUCCCCGAGCAGCGCUUCUCGUCCUCGCCCUCCUCCCGUUGUAAAGCGCCUCGUGGGGCGGGAAGCGACCGUGAAUCACCGCCCGCGUCGCCAGCCCCCCUCCCCCCGGAGCCCCCCGACGCGGCGCCGCCGAGGGAGGGGCCCAGCCCGAGGAGGGGGCCGCAGGCGAGCUCCCGGGGGCCGGCUCGGCCCCGCCGCACGCGCCCCGCGCGCCGCACCACCUGCCCUCCAACGGCCCCGCGGGCGCAGGAAAUCCCCCCGAAAAGCCCGGACCCCGCGUGCGUAACGGCGGAGCGCCCCGGCCCCGCGCGGCCCGGACCCCGCAGCCAGAUCCCGGCGGCGCUCGGCCGCCGCGCACACGCCCGCCGGCUGAGCCACGGCCCCGCACAGGCACCCGAAAGACUGCAGUUUUUACCGAGCGUUUUUUUGAAUUGGAUUCAGGAGUGAUGGAACUGCUACUCCUCUCCAGCUACCGUGCUAUGAACUUUACAAACAGAACACAGUGCAAGGGGGGGAGCCUGGAAGUGAUUCCUGAAAAUCUAUGCUCAAGUCUUUUAAACCGUGACACUGCGGCCUUUUGCGAGCAGACACUCUUGGUCCUCGGGUUGAGAAGGAGCUUCAGCCCUCAUCUGGAUAUGAGUUGACAACCUAGAAGGAGAGU
rnacentral:lncRNA from 12 species